CAAGAGCCUUCAGUGUUGGAGGUUUUAUCCAUGUCUUAACAUGUAAUUCCUGUAACAGUGUACCAGCAGGGAAUCUGCUGUCCCAUUUUACAGGGAAAAAACAGAGGCUCAGAAAAAAGAACUCAUUUGCCCGAAGCCUCCCACUGGCAAGGGGCAGAGCCCAGGAUCCCACAGGGCUGAAUCUAACCUGUUGAUUCUCACCUCAGCAUUCACAUUCCAUCCCAUUUUUCCUUUCUGUGCCUUGCCCUCUCAUGCCUGGGUUCUCCUAUAUCCCUCAGACUGGGUUCUAGGGUGAAAACUGAAGCAGCGAGAUUUCUAACAGCCCAGCUCCCAGCGGGCUCUGUGGGAGAAAGUCAGCAGAGGAAAGCAUUCCCCAGUGUGUGUAUGUUUGGGGGUGGGGGCAUAAGUGCAGCCCCUGUUCUGGGGGCUCCUCCCUCGCCAGGCACUGGAGCAGUCAGGGACUGGAAGGGACCAGGCUGCUUCAUGCAGGGUAGGGGUGGGGCAUCUCCAAGCUGGCAAAGCGCAGAUGACCUUGGCCAUGGGUCACAACCAGUCCCUUCUCCCCCUCGGGAAGGCAACGCUGGGAUGUUAUGGGUCCAGUACACUCCCCCAACUGUCCUGGGGCAUACACCCGACAGAGGUGUGUGGAGGAGGUUGGGUGGGAGAGGGGAUUCAGGCUGGUCAGGGCAGGUUCGGAGGCGGGCCUGGUUCGGAGAAACAACCACCCGUCAGCCAGGCUUGGGGAGGGGAAGGCCAGAGGAGAGGAAGGAGGAGUCUGGAGAAGGGAGAGAAAGACAUAGAAAAACAGACAAGGAGAGAGGGCAGGAGUUGGGGACACAGGUACCGGGGGCGAGUAGAGACACAGAGACGAGAGAAAAGACAACAAAGACAAAGCCAGAGAUGCACAGCCUGAGAGAGAGCCACACGGAGAGAACGGAGAGGGGAGCAGGGUCAGAGGGCCCUGACGACGCAGAGGAGGACGCGAGAGGACACAAGAGGGACUUUCCCCAGGGGCAGGGAGAGGCCUUGGGCAGCUCCUCCGCUGGGCCGGGCUGCCUGCCUGCUGGACUCCGGAAAGGAGGCAGUGACCGCACCCAUCUGGAAGCUGUCAGGUCCCUCAAGGAUGAGGGCGUUGGGAGGAAGCCAGACAUGAGCCACGUCGAUCUUUUUAUUGAAGCAUAA
rnacentral:lncRNA from 1 species